UGAUAAUUAGUUUAAUACAAAACAAAUGAUUUCGACUCAUUAAAUUAUAGUUAACUCUAUAAUUAUCAA
rnacentral:tRNA from 1 species